GAUGAAGAACGUAGCGAAGUGCGAUAAGUAAUGUGAAUUGCAGAAUUCAGUGAAUCAUCGAAUCUUUGAACGCACCUUGCGCCCUUUGGCCAUUCCGAAGGGCAUGCCUGUUUGAGUAUCAUGAACACCUCAACUCUUUAUGGUUUUCCAUGAUGAGCUUGGACUCUGGGGGUUUUGCUGGCUCACAGUCGGCUCCUCUAAAAUGAAUCAGCUUACCAGUGUUUGGUGGGUAUCAUGGGUGUGAUAACUAUCUACGCUUGUGGUUUUUCCACCAGGUAACCUUCAGCAGUGGAGGUUCGCUGGAGCUCAUAGAUGUCUCUCCUCAGUGAGGACAGCCCUUUGAAUGUUUGAUCUCAAAUCAGGUAGGACUACCCGCUGAACUUAAGCAUAUCAAUAAGCGGAGGA
rnacentral:misc_RNA from 1 species